UACGAAGGGGGCUAGCGUUGCUCGGAAUGACUGGGCGUAAAGGGCGCGUAGGCGGAGUGCUUUGUCAGGCGUGAAAUUCCAGGGCUUAACCUUGGGGCUGCGUUUGAGACGGGCAUUCUUGAGUAUGGAAGAGGGUCGUGGAAUUCCGAGUGUAGAGGUGAAAUUCGUAGAUAUUCGGAAGAACACCAGUGGCGAAGGCGGCUCACUGGACCGGCAUUGACGCUGAGGUGCGAAAGCGUGGGGAGCAAACAGG
rnacentral:rRNA from 1 species